AAAGAGGGCCUGAUUGUGACUUCCUGUGACGACUUCCUGCCCAGGCCUCUCACUUCCUGUUUAGCCCUCCACUCCACACCCCUUUUGUGUAGGAUUGGAAAUACCCAUGCGUCAUCCACAUGAAGAUGUCAGGCUGUGGGAAGGACAGACCUGGAACCAGAAAGGGACCAAGGUGGGGUAGUCCCCGUAGGAGCACACAGAAGGAGUGGCAGGAAAACCAGGGUGGUGUCUGCAGGCGCCAAGAAAAGAAGGUACUUCAGGAGAGGGAAGACGCUUUGACAAACAGUGCCCCCGUGCAAUCACAAAAGGAAUGAAAAGUGGCUUCUUCCGUCAAUCUGGGCACAUUUCUCUUCUUUAAGGCCCUGAAUAUUCGCUGGGAGGACUGAUGCUGAAGCUGAAGCUCCAAUACUUUGGCCAUCUGAUGCAAAGAACUGACUCAUUGGAAAAGACCCUGAUGCUGGGAAAGAUUGAAGGCAGGAGGAAAAGGAGAUGACAGAGGAUGAGAUAGUUGAGUGCUGUCUCUGACUCAAUGGACAUGAGUAUAAGCAAACUCUGGGGAAUGGUGAAGGACAGGGAAGCCUGGCAUGUUGCAAUCCAUGGGGUUGCAAAGUCAGACAUGAUGCAGCGACUGAACAACAACAACAAUAGGCUCUAGUGACUUUAAAGAAAAAAGCACAAUGUGGGAGUUCCUAAGUUUGAUUUGAGACCAAAUGAGGACUGCAGCCCAGGAGACAGCACCUCAGAUAGCUUUGAGAAACUGCUCCAAAGAGGUAGAGGGAAAGGCCAGCAUAUAUGUGAUUCUAGUGAAGGGAGGGUACAUGCUUGAAUCAAGCACAUGUUCUUCCAGAAAGUUUCUGCUUGACUCAUGAAGCUUUCUGCUGAUCAUGAGAAACAGUCAUCACCAGGAAGGAUUUUAGUGUUUUCCUAGAUAUGAGGAGGAAAUACAAAGACUUGGGCUAAUAAAAUCAACUCCAAAAAUAUGUAACUAUCUGAAGACCUGUCUUGCCAGUUCCCUGCUCCCCACCCCACCACAGCGUGCCUCUUCUCUGCUCUCCACUCUGAACACCCUUCAGGGGGUGGUGAAGGUCAGCAGCUGCAGCAGCAUAUGAUUUAAUCCUUGUAGAGGUAGAUGGCAAGUGCCUGUGGCAAGUGCCAAUGGCAAGUGCCAAUUUGUAGUUGAUGGCUCCUUCACAGAGAUCUUA